UACGGAGGUGGCAAGCGUUGCCUCGGAAUCACUGGGCGAAAGGGCGCGUAGGCGGGGAGGUCAAGUCGGGUGAUGAAAUCCCUCGGCCCAACCGAGGAACUGCGCCCGAGACUGCUUCUCUUGAGUCCCGGAGAGGAAGAUGGAAUUCCCGGUGUAGCGGUGAAAUGUGUAGAGGAUCGGGAGGAACACCGGGUGGCGAAGGCGGUCUUCUGGGACGGUGACUGACGCUGAGGCGCGAAAGCGUGGGGAGCAACGGG
rnacentral:rRNA from 1 species